CGAGUGUCUGUGAGGACAACACGCUGCAAUCUCCCGAAUUCACAUUAUGGAGAUGUUCCUUGGAGAACUGAGCACUCG